GAUGAACGCUGGCGGCGUGCCUAAUACAUGCAAGUCGAGCGAACAGACGAGGAGCUUGCUCCUCUGACGUUAGCGGCGGACGGGUGAGUAACACGUGGAUAACCUACCUAUAAGACUGGGAUAACUUCGGGAAACCGGAGCUAAUACCGGAUAAUAUAUUGAACCGCAUGGUUCAAUAGUGAAAGACGGUUUUGCUGUCACUUAUAGAUGGAUCCGCGCCGCAUUAGCUAGUUGGUAAGGUAACGGCUUACCAAGGCAACGAUGCGUAGCUGACCUGAGAGGGUGAUCGGCCACACUGGAACUGAGACACGGUCCAGACUCCUACGGGAGGCAGCAGUAGGGAAUCUUCCGCAAUGGGCGAAAGCUUGACGGAGCAACGCCGCGUGAGUGAUGAAGGUCUUCGGAUCGUAAAACUCUGUUAUUAGGGAAGAACAAAUGUGUAAGUAACUAUGCACGUCUUGACGGUACCUAAUCAGAAAGCCACGGCUAACUACGUG
rnacentral:rRNA from 1 species